rnacentral:rRNA from 1 species
UACAGAGGUCUCAAGCGUUGUUCGGAUUCAUUGGGCGUAAAGGGUGUGUAGGUGGCGCCGUAAGUCGGGUGUGAAAUCUCCACGCUCAACGUGGAGGCGCCACCUGAAACUGCCGUGACUCGAGUCCGGUAGGGGAGUGUGGAAUUCCCGGUGUAGCGGUGAAAUGCGCAGAUAUCGGGAGGAACACCAGUGGCGAAGGCGGCACUCUGGGCCGGUACUGACGCUGAGGAGCGAAAGCGUGGGGAGCGAACAGG